AUACGUAGGUGGCAAGCGUUGUCCGGAUUUACUGGGCGUAAAGGGAGCGUAGGCGGACCUUUAAGUGAGAUGUGAAAUACCCCGAGCUCAACUUGGGUGCUGCAUUUCAAACUGGAGGUCUAGAGUGUCGGAGAGGUAAGCGGAAUUCCUAGUGUAGCGGUGAAAUGCGUAGAGAUUAGGAAGAACCCCGGUGGCGAAGGCGGCUUACUGGACGAUAACUGACGCUGAGGCUCGAAAGCGUGGGGAGC
rnacentral:rRNA from 1 species